CCUACGGGAGGCUGCAGUGGGGAAUAUUGCGCAAUGAGCGAAAGCCUGACGCAGCGACGCCGCGUGAAGGAUGAAGGUCUUCGGAUCGUAAACCUCUGUCAGCAGGGAAGAACGGUCACUGUGCUAAUCAGCAGUGAAUUGACGGUACCUGCAAAGAAAGCACCGGCUAACUCCGUGCCAGCAGCCGCGGUAAUACGGAGGGUGCGAGCGUUAUUCGGAAUUACUGGGCGUAAAGCGCUCGUAGGCGGUAUGUUAAGUCAAGGGUGAAAUCCCCGGGCUCAACGUGGGAACCGCCUUGGAAACUGGCAAACUGGAGUGUGUGAGAGGUAAGCGGAAUUCCAGGUGUAGGAGUGAAAUGCGUAGAUAUCUGGAAGAACAUCAGUGGCGAAGGCGACUUUCUGGCUCAUAACUGACGCUGAGGAGCGAAAGCGUGGGUAGCAAACAGGAUUAGAUACCCCGGUAGUC
rnacentral:rRNA from 1 species